rnacentral:rRNA from 1 species
GACGAGGGACCUAGCGUUGUUCGGAAUCAUUGGGCGUAAAGCGUAUGUAGGUGGCUUUGUAAGUCAGGUGUGAAAUCCCCGGGCUCAACCCGGGAAGUGCAUUUGAUACUGCGAAGCUUGAGUGUGGAAGAGGGCAGUAGAAUUCCUGGUGUAGUGGUGAAAUACGUAGAUAUCAGGAGGAAUACCGGUGGCGAAGGCGGCUGCCUGGUCCUACACUGACGCUGAGAUACGAAAGCGUGGGGAUCAAACAGG